UUUUGCUGGAGAUCCCUGCAUACCUGAGCUCUUCUGCAGGUUCAGAGGAGCAAUGGGAAAAGCAACAAACCAGCUCCUCAAGAAGAUUUAAGAUUUGUGGAAGAAGCAAGUGAGGGGGUUGCAGCCAGGAGGAGCCUUCCAUGCCUGGAGACAUGAGCACUGUCCUGCAGCCCUACUGAGGAUGCUGAAGUGACCUUUUCUCUUCUACAUGAAAAACAGCAUCCACCAAAACCAACUAAAUGCAGAGAAAUUAAGACUUCCAUCCCUAUGACAGAUGGUAUUUAAGGCCCAAUCCUAAUGUUGGCAACAUUAGUAGAAGACUUACUGAAAGACUGGUGGAAAGAAUUUGGAAGGUUUUAAUGAGGAAAAUAUUCCCAAGUGGGGGAAAAAUAAAUGGGUUCAGCUGCCUUCCUUUAUUAGGUAAGGCUACUUCAGAAUACUUCUAGAACUGGGAGAGUAUGUAUUAAGUUAUGAAAGAUAUACACAUGGCCAUUCCAUAUAUUUUUACCAAAAAUGUGAAAGAAGAAACCCAACCCAGCAAAAUGGUUUAUGGAAAAAAAAAAAAAAAAGGCUGAAAAGCCAUGAUUGAUGCCAACAGUACAAGAGAUGUUAAUAUUUCAGCUUUAUUUCACUGUGUGGUGUUCUCUCUUGGGCACUGAUAGCUUGUGGCACGUGAUCUGUGAGAUAAUCAAGGCCUCUUCCUCAAGAUAAACCAUAAACAAGUCUGGUUAGAGCUAGGAGCCUGAGAGAGCGCCAAUGGAUUCAAGGACGAGCAUCUUGUGGCCUUUCAUAGUAGUCACCAAGAAAUGUAUGAUCUUCGUCAUCUAAGAGCAGAUAAACCAGCGCAUGGACUACUCAAUUCUGCACACAAAUGCAGAAAUGGUUUGUUAUGGACUGGUCUGAGGUGUGACUGACUGUGAACAGACCAACUACAGGGAAAGGAGUUUGGAAGCCAUGUAAAAGAUCUGCUUACAGGUGAUGGGUAGGGUCUCCACUAAUCUGUAAAAGCCUGAAAUAUUAAGAGGAUCUCACACUUUCCAGAGCUGUGGAGACACUUCUCUGCACUGGGCUGCAGCACUACAAUUGUGUCUGCAUUUGUUCCUAUCAGGACUGAGAAGACAAGUGACAACCAGUCCAAAGUGCCAGACUGAAAGCCUUCCCCAGCUUCCAACACAUCUUUCCCAGCAAAGCGUCCGUGAGCCUGAAGGGUUCUCUUCAAUCAGUUUUUUCUUUACUUAGUCAUAAUUGAAAAUUGGCAACAAGUGUCUGUAAAGAUCCCCCCCAGCCUUUUUGUUUUCCAGGGGAAAAUUACUAGUACAUGUCUCAGCUCGCAUCUCUCUGCUCCUUGCUAUCAGCGCACACUGUACCUGCUCAAAGUAAUUAUUGCACUCUU
rnacentral:lncRNA from 1 species